UACGUAGGGGGCUAGCGUUGUCCGGAUUUAUUGGGCGUAAAGAGCGUGUAGGCGGCCAGGUAGGUCUGCUGUGAAAACUCGAGGCUCAACCUCGAGACGUCGGCGGAAACCAUCUGGCUAGAGUCCGGAAGAGGAGAGUGGAAUUCCUGGUGUAGCGGUGAAAUGCGCAGAUAUCAGGAGGAACACCGAUGGCGAAGGCAGCUCGCUGGGACGGUAUUGACGCUGAGACGCGAAAGCGUGGGGAGCAAACAGG
rnacentral:rRNA from 1 species